rnacentral:rRNA from 1 species
UACGUAGGGUGCGAGCGUUAAUCGGAAUUACUGGGCGUAAAGCGUGCGCAGGCGGUUCGUUGUGUCGGCGGUGAAAGCCCCGGGCUUAACCUGGGAAUGGCCGUUGAAACUGGCGAACUGGAGUGCGGCAGAGGAGACUGGAAUUCCUGGUGUAGCAGUGAAAUGCGUAGAUAUCAGGAGGAAUACCGAUGGCGAAGGCAGGUCUCUGGGCUGACACUGACGCUCAUGCACGAAAGCGUGGGGAGCAAACAGG